rnacentral:lncRNA from 10 species
AGAGGUUCAUUUCUUAGAUGCCAACAUUAUGGGCUGGGCGCGGUGGCUCACACCUGUAAUCCCAGCAUUUUGGGAGGCCAACGUGGGCGAAUCACCUGAGGUCAUUGUAUUUUUAGUAGAGACGAGGUUUCACCAUGUUGGCCAGGCAGGUCUUGAACUCCUGACCUCAGGUGACCCACCCACUUUAGCCUCCCAAAGUGUGGGGAUUACAGGCAUGAGCCCACUGUGCCCAGCCAGAAAGGCCUUUUCUACCCCAAGAUUUAAAAAAUAAUUUAAAUCUGUGUUUCUUUGGAGUAUGUGCACAUAUGUGUUUGCAUUUGUAUUUAAAUAUUUGAUUCAUCUAGAAUUCAUCAUUUAUU